GACCCAGUAGCUCAGCCGGAUAGAGCAACGGCCUUCUAAGCCGUGGGCCGGGGGUUCGAAUCCCUCCUGGGUCGCCA
rnacentral:tRNA from 1 species